AAUGCAGGUGAAAAACCUGCACACCGUAAGACUAAGGUUUCCUGAUCAAUGCUAAUCAGAUCAGGGUUAGUCGGGGCCUAAGGAUAAUCCGAAAGGAAAUGCCGAUGGACAACUGGUUAAUAUUCCAGUACUGGUUAUUGUAGUGAUGGAACUACGAAGAAGUGAAAGGUCUGCGCACUGACGGAUAUGUGCGUUAAAGCCCGUAGAUAUAAAUUAUACAGGAAAAUCCGUAUAGUUUGUCGAAGGUGACAGUACCACAAGUCUUCGGACAAGUGGAUAAUGACCCUAAACAGGCUUCCAAGAAACAUUCCUAAACUUAUACAAUAACUACCCGUACCGUAAUCCGACACAGGUAGUCGAGGAGAGAAUCCUAAGGUGCUCGAGUGAAUCAUGGCUAAGGAACUCGGCAAAUUAACCCUGUAACUUCGGGAUAAAGGGUGCCCUGCUUAUGCAGGGCCGCAGUGAAAUGGCCCAGGCGACUGUUUAACAAAAACACAUGGCUUUGCUAAAUCGAAAGAUUACGUAUAAGGCCUGACACCUGCCCGGUGCUGGAAGGUUAAGAGGAGAUGUCAGAAGCAAUUCAAAGCAUUGAAUCGAAGCCCCAGUAAACGGCGGCCGUAACUAUAACGGUCCUAAGGUAGCGAAAUUCCUUGUCGGGUAAGUUCCGACCUGCACGAAUGGUGUAACGAUCUGGGCACUGUCUCAGCCAUGAGCUCGGUGAAAUUGUAGUAUCGGUGAAGAUGCCGAUUACCCGCAACGGGACGGAAAGACCCCGUGCACCUUCACUACAACUUUGCAUUGAGUUUGGGUAAUUGAUGUGUAGGAUAGGUGGGAGACUUUGAAGUGGUAGCGCUAGCUAUUAUGGAGUCAACCUUGAAAUACCACCCUUCAAUUAUUUGAAUUCUAAUCCCGAUUAUCGGGAAACAGUGCAUGGUGGGUAGUUUGACUGGGGUGGUCGCCUCCCAAAAUGUAACGGAGGCUUUCAAAGGUACCCUCAGUACGCUUGGUAACCGUACGUAGAGUGCAAUAGCAUAAGGGUGCUUAACUGUGAGACUUACAAGUCGAGCAGAAUCGAAAGAUGGAUAUAGUGAUCCGGUGGUUCCGAAUGGAAGGGCCAUCGCUCAAAGGAUAAAAGGUACGCCGGGGAUAACAGGCUGAUCUCCCCCAAGAGCUCACAUCGA
rnacentral:rRNA from 1 species